GGAGAGACAGAAAGAGGGUGGACAGAGAGAAGACUGUGUGCGCAAGAGAAAGAGAACAACUCCUCUCUGCCAUUCACUCCUCCUCACCCAUCUCUCCUUUCUUCCUCCAUUCUAUUAUUAUUCUCUUCUUUCCCUCUCUAUUUUCUCUUCUCCUCUUGUGUAAAUAGGCCUAUGAGGGCCUAGUUGGCAAUGGGAUGGCACCUACUGUUGUACUCUUGUGGUUCAAGGCUGGUGGCCAAAUAUUUUGUUUUAGCAGUGGUUUUAAUGUUUAUUACAUUAAUACACAAAAAAGUGGACCUUCCCAAUUUUGAGUUUUCAGUCAUAAACAAUCUUACGUUUUAUAUUGGUAAAUAUAAUUGCACCUUUAAGUUAAAGUUUCUAUUGCACUGAACUGUCUUCUAUUUUCAAGUCAUUGAAAUAAAUAAAAUAAAUCAGCUGAUUAGGUUGAUAUCUUUCCUCUGUUUAUUUAUUGUAUGCUGUUCUAGUUGUUUGAUAGCCUAUUUCAUCUGCAACCCAGUCGACAAAUGCCUAUUGAAAAUGUAAAAUAAAUAGUUUAUAAAAAGCAUACACAGUAAAAUGGGUAAUAAAUAGAGGUAAUUCUGGUGAAACAAUGAAUUAAUGAUGGGUUGUUAUUGUUAAAAACAUGACUUAAAUGAAUUUGAAAUAGCAGAACCUUUACUGUGACAAUUACGAUUUGGGACUUUUAUUUUGAAACCGGCUGUGGCUUCCCUUGGAGCCGUUCACUUCAGUCUGUCGUCUGCCGAGCCAGUCGAAUUUUCUUUGGAGCUAGAAACAAUCAAAAGAAAAUAUUUCGUUUUUUAUGAAGUUUAAGUUUCCUUUUGGAGUACGGAGCGUCCAGCUCUGUGAAUGAUGUAAGUUUUGAAGACUAGAGGCUUCCUUUCAUCGAGUAUUUGUUUUGUUUCAAUUCGCCUUAUUCACCCGGAACUUUCUAAAGACGUUGAGGGGUACACUUCAGGGGUACACCCGGCUGCACACCCAGCUGUUUGGCGCCUCACUGCUGUGUGCCCAAAUGUAGUCCUACGUCCUCAAAGAGAAACAAAUCCUACCGUGGACAGACUUUCCACCGUUUCGCCAAAGAGCAGGCACUUCGGCAUGAACGAAUUAAUCACAUCAAGAGGGGUCCUGGUCCAUAUUUCAAGAUCAACGCUGAGACCGAGGUUUGAUCUGAGCACGUUGAGAAGCAAUGCUUUGUUAAGGUCACCCGUGGUAUGACAACGCUAAUAAAGGAUGCUGUGCCUGCCAACUUUGUUCGCCUGGACUUCAGAGAAGCCAAAGAGGAGAAUCAUCAUUCGCAUACCGUGUAUGGAUUCCAUGGAGUAUUCCAUCGAGUAUUUCUUCUGUUUCAAUCGUCUUGGUGAAGUUUUUGAGCUGGAUCUGGAUUCUGCUGAGGAUUCGUCGACUACUAGAUGGCGAGCCACCCACUCAUUCGAAUGUGAUCCUGUUCUACAUUGCGCAUGGCAUAUUUGGUAGGAUUGUGGCCUGCUCGUGUCACAUCACUGACUAUGACUGACUUCAACGCCUUGAACUGAACUGCUUGAAAGGAGCUAUAUUUCUUUUUGAACAACUUAAAGGAACUCUCUACAUCGUCUCUUUUGAGGAUUUAAAGGACUAUUUCCAAUUUUUG